rnacentral:misc_RNA from 1 species
AAGUCGUAACAAGGUUUCCGUAGGUGAACCUGCGGAAGGAUCAUUAAUAACAAAAAAACAAAAAAAAAAACCUUUUUUAUUUUAUUAUUUAUUUAUAUCAAACACCGUGUGAAUCUUUACUUUUAUAAUAAAACCACAAAAAAUUUAAAAAAAAAUGAAAUUGAAAGAGAAAAAGAAACACUUUAUCUCUUUCUUUACCAAAAAUUAAAUUUUUAAUCAAAGAAAAAUAACUCUUAACAAUGGAUAUCUCGGCUCUCGC